rnacentral:rRNA from 1 species
GGAUCAAUAUGUUGGUCGUGCCUUGGUACGUACUAAUUUAUUGGUUUCUUCCUUCUGACGAACCAUGAUGUCAUUAAUUUGGUGCGCUGGGGAAGCAGGACUGUUACCUUGAAAAAAUUAGAGUGCUUAAAGCAGGCUAUCGCCUGAAUACAUUAGCAUGGAAUAAUGAAAUAGGACGGCAUGGUUCUAUUUUGUUGGUUUCUAGGAUCACCGUA